CGAUUUUCUCUGCAGGUGGCGGAGGGUGUUAGAUGGAUGGCCCAGUGGCCAAAGGGAGGCAUCGAGGGAAGGUGGGGGGGGGAUCCUCUUGGUUCCUUAGAAGCCAAAGUAGCAACGUUUUUGAUCUUAGGAAUCCCCAGAGAUAUCAACUGGAAGGGUGUUUUUGUCAAAACAGAGAAACUAGACCAGGUCAUAGUCCUAUGGCAGGGACAGGAUCAGGGGCCACAGGCUGUGACAAAGCCUAGUUCUCCAGUCCUCCCCUGAAAAGGGGCGGAGAUACCCACGGGCUCGGGUGAGCUCAGAUUCCCCCUUCUAUGUCUCCAAGACAGAAGAACAGCAAAAUAUGCCUGGUCUAACCUCGAAGGAUGCGAGAGCUAAGAGGAGCAGGCCCUGACCUGGAUCCGACCCUACGGGUCCCUUCCGAGAACCCUCACCAGGUGUACCGUAACCCUGAGGAUCCAACCUUGCGCACCCUGGACUUCAGAGAGCCUCCACGGGUGAAUCCUGACCUGGCAGGUUCCUGGACCUGUUGGUGAUCCCUCAGCGACUGCCAUCUGAAAUCCAGUUUGGGGGCUGGGGAAAGGCUCAGUGACUAAGAGUGCUUUCUAUGUACGUAUGGAGACCUAAGUUUGGAUCCCUGCACGCACACCAAAAAGCAGGCAAAUGUGCUUGCUGCCAAGCUGGAGAAACUGAGUUUGAUCCUUGGAACCCUCACGGUGGAAGAAGAGAGUUGACUAUUGGAGUUGGCCACUAUAGAAGGCACAGACCACACCCCAACACAUACAUAACACACAUACAAUAAAGAAAUAGAAGUCAAGUUCUUAAAUUAAAUAGGAAUUUAAUUAGCAUAAGCAUGGACAGAGUCUAUGGGAGCACAGACUCCUCAGCCUAACCCUAACCCUAACCCUAACCCUAACCCUAACCCUAACCCUAACCCUACCCUCGUCUGCCUUUGGCAAGCUUCCUAUUAGGUUGAUGUACCAGAGGUCCCUGGGCUGUUUGUUCCCACAGCAGCCUGGGGCAUUUGCCCUAUAACAAGAACCCUGAAUAAAAUGCUUCUGCCUCUUGACCAUU
rnacentral:lncRNA from 1 species